GGAGGGAUAGCUCAGUGGUAGAGUGCCUGCUUAGCAUGUAUGAGGUCCUGGGUUCAAUCCCCAGUACCUCCA
rnacentral:tRNA from 1 species